rnacentral:ncRNA from 2 species
UAUAAAAUAAGUUAUCUUUGUGGCGUUCCAGCUUCAGGGAAUCCCGUGUAAUCCGGGAACAGUACCCGCUGCUGUAAAGCUCUCCCCAUCUUUUUUGGGGUUUUCUUCAGUCGGCCACUGCCAUUUGGUGGGAAGGCGAAGAUGCAAAAGCUGAGUCAGAAGACCUGCAGGAACAAAACAUAUUUA